GAUGAACGCUGACAGAAUGCUUAACACAUGCAAGUCUUUGGCGAAGCUGUGCUUGCACCGCCUAGCCAAGGCGGACGGGUGAGUAACGCGUAAGGAACUUGCCCUGCAGUCAGGGAUAACAGACGGAAACGACUGAUAAGACCUGGUAAAGUCAGGCGGACUCAUGUCCAGCCUGAUGAAAAGAGAUGCUGCAGGAGAGCCUUGCGUCCUAUUAGCUUGUUGGUGGGGUAACGGCCCACCAAGGCGAUGAUAGGUAGCCGGCCUGAGAGGGUGGACGGCCACAAGGGGACGGAGAUACGGCCCUUACUCCUACGGGAGGCAGCAGUGGGGAAUAUUGGACAAUGGGGGCAACCCUGAUCCAGCAAUUCUGUGUGCACGAUGAAGGUUUUCGGACUGUAAAGUGCUUUCAGCAGGGAAGAAAAAAAUGACGGUACCUGCAGAAGAAGCGACGGCUAAAUACGUG
rnacentral:rRNA from 1 species